rnacentral:rRNA from 1 species
GAUGAACGCUGGCGGCGUGCCUAAUACAUGCAAGUCGAGCGAACAGACGAGGAGCUUGCUCCUCUGACGUUAGCGGCGGACGGGUGAGUAACACGUGGAUAACCUACCUAUAAGACUGGGAUAACUUCGGGAAACCGGAGCUAAUACCGGAUAAUAUAUUGAACCGCAUGGUUCAAUAGUGAAAGACGGUUUUGCUGUCACUUAUAGAUGGAUCCGCGCCGCAUUAGCUAGUUGGUAAGGUAACGGCUUACCAAGGCGACGAUGCGUAGCCGACCUGAGAGAGUGAUCGGCCACACUGGAACUGAGACACGGUCCAGACUCCUACGGGAGGCAGCAGUAGGGAAUCUUCCGCAAUGGGCGAAAGCCUGACGGAGCAACGCCGCGUGAGUGAUGAAGGUCUUCGGAUCGUAAAACUCUGUUAUUAGGGAAGAACAAAUGUGUAAGUAACGAUGCACGUCUUGACGGUACCUAAUCAGAAAGCCACGGCUAACUACGU